UUUUGGGCUUAGUUGGCUGUGGAGCACAUGAAAACUCCACAGUUAAGCGUGCUCAGGUAGAAGUAGUACAAGGAUGGGUGACCUCCUGGGAAGUCUCCACAAGAGCAACCA
rnacentral:rRNA from 1 species